AAAACGACUCUCGGCAACGGAUAUCUCGGCUCACGCAUCGAUGAAGAACGUAGCAAAAUGCGAUACUUGGUGUGAAUUGCAGAAUCCCGUGAACCAUCGAGUCUUUGAACGCAAGUUGCGCCCGAAGCCAUCCGGCCGAGGGCACGUCUGCCUGGGCGUCACGC
rnacentral:rRNA from 1 species